UAUAGUGGUAGUUAAAUUAUAAUUUUGGAUUUGCGUUCUAGGGUUGGGAAGCUAUCCCUCACUAUAA
rnacentral:tRNA from 1 species